CGCUGCAAUCGACGUUGUCAUCAUCCUCAUCCCCUCUCCACCGUCUCUGUUUGUUUUCGUUCUGUCAAGUAUCGGUGCAACCGACCUUGUUGCCGUCAUCAUUUUAAUCUCCUCAUGAUGUAUAUCCAUUUGCCUCCAAGCCAAACCGAUUUUUUCUUCUCGGUGCAAGCCAGCCACAGCUAGAGCUCGUAGCCCCCACUCUCAACCUCCAUCCAUCCAUCUUCACCGGUCGCCGCCAACAGAGGAAGGCGUCGCUAUGACCCCUCUACCCCACCGUGAAUCUGCACCGUCUCCCAUGGCUGGAAUCGCCGCUGUCGAGCCCGGCCAAGCUGGAGCUAAGGUUUUUGCCGCCGGCGCUUCAUUGCAAAAUUCGUCGCCACCAAUGCUCUUCAUCCAAAUUAAAUGAAGAGCAGGUUUUCGUCAAGAUUGCCCGUGUUAGGGUCGCUUCCUUCGCUCGAGCUUGCCUGUGGUGUUGUUGGGUCUUCUGCUUGCUGUCUGGUUGUCUUUUUGAAAAGCUAGGCCGACGUGCCAUAUUUCCGCUGCUAAAAUCGUUAAUAUGAGGUUGAUUGGAAUUCUAGGAGGCUAUGAAGGAGGUUGUUGGGUUAGAGAUGACUUUUGGCUUUUGGUGACUACACCUCAACGAUGCACUGUUCAAUUUGCUUUUGUGGUAUGAAAAAAAAUAUGUAUGGCUUAAGUAUGGUUAUCAAUUUAUACAUUUUGUAGUAACGUGUGGACAUUUUAUUUUAUUUUUAUGUUAAAAACCUUUAGUUGUACCUGUUGCUUAUCUUUAGUUAGUCAUGUAAUGAAUUACCUUGAGUCAAGAUCUAUGCAAGUUGGUUAUCUUUAGUUGGCCACUAAGCCUCUACUCUACACAGUGAGCCACAGAGAUGGUGCACAGUGUAUCUAAUUUUUUUAUGUGUAUACAACUAUUAAAAAUAUAAAUAGCUAGCAAUAUAGCUGGCUCUUUGAACUGCUGGCUAUUUUGCUCACGAUGUGUAUAUCUUUUAGCUAGCAACUAUCUAGUAAUGUUGCGGACCCAGGGCCGUGUUUCCUAGGCUCUGCUUGUGUGC